UGCCAGCCGCCGCGGUAAUACGGAGGGAUCUAGCGUUAUUCGGAAUUACUGGGCGUAAAGCGAGCGUAGGCUGAUUUGUAAGUUGGAUGUGAAAUCCCAGAGCUUAACUCUGGAACUGCAUCCAAAACUACAUUUCUUGAGUUUGGUAGAGGAGAGUGGAAUUCCUAGUGUAGAGGUGAAAUUCGUAGAUAUUAGGAGGAACACCAGUGGCGAAGGCGACUCUCUGGGCCAAUACUGACGCUGAGGUUCGAAAGCGUGGGUAGCGAACAGGAUUAGAUA
rnacentral:rRNA from 1 species